rnacentral:rRNA from 1 species
UACGGAAGGGGCGAGCGCUGUUCGGAUUCAUUGGGCGUAAAGGGUGCGUAGGUGGCGCGCUAAGUCGGGUGUGAAAUUUCGGAGCUUAACUCCGAAACUGCAUUCGAUACUGGUGUGCUUGAGGACUGGAGAGGAGACUGGAAUUCAUGGUGUAGCAGUGAAAUGCGUAGAGAUCAUGAGGAAGACCAGUGGCGAAGGCGGGUCUCUGGACAGUUCCUGACACUGAGGCACGAAGGCCAGGGGAGCAAACGGG